rnacentral:lncRNA from 1 species
ACACGGCCCCCGCCCUGUUCGCCCCGCGCCACCGGCCCGCGCCCCGCCAUGGAGGACCUGGAUGCCCUGCUCUCUGACCUGGAGACUACCACCUCGCACAUGCCAAGGUCAGGGGCUCCCAAAGAGCGCCCUGCGGAGCCUCUCACCCCUCCCCCAUCCUAUGGCCACCAGCCACAGGUGAGAUCGGAUGUUGGGGACUGGGGCAGCCACUAGGGCCAGGCUCGGCCUGGUCUAUGGGGAUCUCAGCCUCAGUGGGGCAGAGUGCAGGCCUGUCAUCCCACCUGUGCGUCUCCGCUCUGUAGACAGGGUCUGGGGAGUCUUCAGGAGCCUCGGGGGACAAGGACCACCUGUACAGGUGAGGGGCCUGGAAACCAGGGCAUGGGGGCCAACUGAGUCUCAGGUGAGGAGGCUUGGAUUCCCCACCCCUGAACCCAGGCUCCCACUCUGCUUCCCAGCACGGUAUGCAAGCCUCGGUCCCCAAAGCCUGCAGCCCCGGCGGCCCCUCCAUUCUCCUCUUCCAGCGGUGUCUUGGGUACCGGGCUCUGUGAGCUAGAUCGGUU